AGAGAGUGCAGUGGUGGUCGAGCUAGAGAGUGAAUGAAGAGAGGGAGCGCCGAACAAAGCAGUGAAUCAGAGGAAUAAAACCUAGUUUUCUGAUUGUUUCACGGCGGUUAUGUUCUAAAGCACUAAUUAACACGCCCACACCUCAGUGGGAAGGUGCCACAUUGCCGGAUUUUGGGUAAAUGAGACACUACCGGUUUUUUUUUCUGAGGCUUUGAAACGGGAGCGCCACAUAUUCACGCAAUACUUCAAACAGCGGCAGUGCGACGAGGCACUAAGCGUCUAUUCUGAGCUGAGCGCUGCAGGUUUGGAGUUUGUUUCUGGCUGCAGAGAGUUGAAAAAUGCUUGGGUAAAACGCUGCGCUCAUCACCUAUUUCCCAGCUGGCUAGAGGGCCUGUCUGUCAUUUUCCGCUGGAAAAAGACGCUUUGGUGGCCAGGUG